GUCACAGACAUUCCCUCUCCCUGCUGCCUUUUGAUCUUAGAAGCUAAACUGGGAUGGUUCUAGAUAGUACUUGGAUGGGAGACCAGCAGGAGAUCUCAGAGUUGUAGACU
rnacentral:rRNA from 1 species